CGUUUGACAGGGCAGCGUGUGUCCAGGUUCAAUGUUCAAGUGUCGAGAUUUUUAGCCUCUACACGGCGUUAACGGCAGCCACCCGCCUGGAUCUGAUGUUCCAACGAUGUCCUAAACCUUGUGUACCUGAAACACCGUGUUCAGUUUCGCUUCAGAGGAAUUUACGGUGCCGGAGUUCAACAUGAGGCUGUGUGCAGUGGUCGGCUGCGGUAAUGGAACAUAUCAACCAAGGCGGUUUCAACCUUCUUGUAUCAACUU